UUGACCUCGGAUCAGGUAGGGAUACCCGCUGAACUUAAGCAUAUCAAUAAGCGGAGGAAGAAAAGCACUUUGGAAAGAGAGUCAAAAACACGUGAAAUUGUUGAAAGGGAAGCGCUUGCAGCCAGACUUGCCUGUAGUUGCUCAUCCGAGCUCCCGCUCGGUGCACUCUUCUGCGGGCAGGCCAGCAUCAGUCCGGGCGGUCGGAUAAAGGCCUCGGGAAUGUAGCUCCCCUCGGGGAGUGUUAUAGCCCGGGGUGCCAUGCGACCAGCCUGGACUGAGGUCCGCGCAUCUGCUAGGAUGCUGGCGUAAUGGCUGUAAGCGGCCCGUCUUGAAACACGGACCAAGGAGUCUAACAUCUAUGCGAGUGUUUGGGUGUCAAGCCCGGGCGCGCAAUGAAAGUGAACGGAGGUGGGAACCCCUCGGGGCGCACCAUCGACCGAUCCUGAUGUCUUCGGAUGGAUUUGAGUAAGAGCAUAGCUGUUGGGACCCGAAAGAUGGUGAACUAUGCCUGAAUAGGGUGAAGCCAGAGGAAACUCUGGUGGAGGCUCGCAGCGGUUCUGACGUGCAAAUCGAUCGUCAAAUUUGGGCAUAGGGGCGAAAGACUAAUCGAACUAUCUAGUAGCUGGUUCCUGCCGAAGUUUCCCUCAGGAA
rnacentral:rRNA from 1 species